rnacentral:rRNA from 1 species
GACGAACGCUGGCGGCGUGCCUAAUACAUGCAAGUCGAACGCUUCUUUCCUCCCGAGUGCUUGCACUCAAUUGGAAAGAGGAGUGGCGGACGGGUGAGUAACACGUGUGUAACCUACCCAUCAGAGGGGGAUAACACUUGGAAACAGGUGCUAAUACCGCAUAACAGUUUAUGCCGCAUGGCAUAAGAGUGAAAGGCGCUUUCGGGUGUCGCUGAUGGAUGGACCCGCGGUGCAUUAGCUAGUUGGUGAGGUAACGGCUCACCAAGGCCACGAUGCAUAGCCGACCUGAGAGGGUGAUCAGCCACACUGGAACUGAGACACGGCCCAGACUCCUACGGGAGGCAGCAGUAGGGAAUCUUCGGCAAUGGACGAAAGUCUGACCGAGCAACGCCGCGUGAGUGAAGAAGGUUUUCGGAUCGUAAAACUCUGUUGUUAGAGAAGAACAAGGACGUUAGUAACUGAACGUCCCCUGACGGUAUCUAAACAGAAAGCCACGGCUAACUACGUG